rnacentral:rRNA from 1 species
CGCUAGUAAUCGCAGGUCAGCAUACUGCGGUGAAUACGUUCCCGGGCCUUGUACACACCGCCCGUCACACCACGAAAGUCAUUCACACCCGAAGCCGGUGAGGUAACCGCAAGGAGCCAGCCGUCGAAGGUGGGGGCGAUGAUUGGGGUGAAGUCGUAACAAGGUAGCCGUAUCGGAAGGUGCGGCUGGAUCACCUCCUUUCUAGGGA